CGCGUGAGGGAGGGGCUCUUGGGUUGUAAACCUCUUUUCUCAAGGAAGAAAAAAAUGACGGUACUUGAGGAAUAAGCAUCGGCUAACUCCGUGCCAGCAGCCGCGGUAAUACGGAGGAUGCAAGCGUUAUCCGGAAUGAUUGGGCGUAAAGCGUCCGCAGGUGGCUGUGUAAGUCUGCUGUUAAAUAGUGAGGCUCAACCUCAUAAAGGCAGUGGAAACUACAUGGCUAGAGUGCGUUCGGGGCAGAGGGAAUUCCUGGUGUAGCGGUGAAAUGCGUAGAGAUCAGGAUGAACACCGGUGGCGAAAGUGCUCCUCCUCCCCGCCCCCGACCCUGAGGGACGAAAGCUAUGGGCGCCGAUGGAAAUAA
rnacentral:rRNA from 1 species